AUUGAACGCUGGCGGCAUGCUUUACACAUGCCAGUCGAACGGCAGCGCGGGCUUCGGCCUGGCGGCGAGUGGCGAACGGGUGAGUAAUGCAUCGGAACGUGCCCAGUAGUGGGGGAUAGCCCGGCGAAAGCCGGAUUAAUACCGUAUACGACCUGAGGGUGAAAGCGGGGGACCGAAAGGCCUCGCGCUAUUGGAGCGGCCGAUGUCGGAUUAGCUAGUUUGUGGGGUAAAGGCUUACCAAGGCGACGAUCCGUAGCUGGUCUGAGAGGACGACCAGCCACACUGGGACUGAGACACGGCCCAGACUCCUACGGGAGGCAGCAGUGGGGAAUUUUGGACAAUGGGGGCAACCCUGAUCCAGCCAUGCCGCGUGCGGGAAGAAGGCCUUCGGGUUGUAAACCGCUUUUGUUCGGGAAGAAAUCCUCUGGGCUAAUACCCCGGGGGGAUGACGGUACCGGAAGAAUAAGCACCGGCUAACUACGUG
rnacentral:rRNA from 1 species